rnacentral:rRNA from 1 species
UACGAGGGGGGCGAGCGUUGUUCGGAAUUAUUGGGCGUAAAGGGUGCGUAGGCGGUUUGGUAAGUCUUGUGUGAAAUCUUCGGGCUCAACUCGAAGUCUGCACCAGAAACUGCCGGGCUUGAGUGUGGGAGAGGUGAGUGGAAUUCCCGGUGUAGCGGUGAAAUGCGUAGAGAUCCGGAGGAACACCAAAGGCGAAGGCAGUGUCCUGGGGAGUACCUGACGCUCAGGUGCGAAAGCCAGGGGAGCGAACGGG